rnacentral:rRNA from 1 species
GAGUCCGAUCCAAUAGUACGGCGCCAAGUGGCUGAAUUCGGCUAUUAGAUACCNUGGUAGUCACGCCGGUAAACGAUGAAGUAAAGUGUGNAGGUUUCCGCCUUCAAGUGUGCAGCUAAAGCCAUAAGCAUUCCGCCUGGGAAGUACGCCNGCAAAGGUGAAACUCAAAGGAAUUGACGGGGGCCGGCACAAGCGGUGGAGCAUGUGGUUUAUUCGAAGCAACGCGAAAGAACCUUANCAGGUCUUGACAUCUUUUGACAAUCNUAGAGAUAGGACUUUCCCUUCGGGGACANAAUGACAGGUGGUGCAUGGUUGUCGUCAGCUCGUGUCGUGAGAUGUUGGGUUAAGUCCCGCAACGAGCGCAACCCUUAUUGUUAGUUGCCAGCAUUAAGUUGGGCACUCUAGCAAGACUGCCGGUGACAAACCGGAGGAAGGUGGGGAUGACGUCAAAUCAUCAUGCCCCUUAUGACCUGGGCUACACACGUGCUACAAUGGACGGUACAACGAGUCGCAAGACCGCGAGGUUUAGCAAAUCUCUUAAAGCCGUUCUCAGUUCGGAUUGUAGGCUGCAACUCGCCUACAUGAAGUCGGAAUCGCUAGUAAUCGCGGAUCAGCAUGCCGCGGUGAAUACGUUCCCGGGCCUUGUACACACCGCCCGUCACACCAUGAGAGUUUGUAACACCCAAAGCCGGUGGGGUAACCUUUUGGAGCCAGCCGUCUAAGGUGGGACAGAUGAUUAGGGUGAAGUCGUAACAAGGUA